AUGGAGGCCGCGCACGGGAACUGGGUUGCCCUGCCCAGUGAUCUUCUGAGCUGCGUGGGCGCGCUCCUCAUCGUGCCUGGUUGCAUAUGCUUCCGCGCCGUGUGCCGCAGAUGGAGGGAAGCCAUCCCGGAAGAGCAAGCCGUCGCAAUGCCGGCGCCGUGGGUGAUCAUACCCCGCGUCGACGGCUGCAGCGACUCCUUCAUUGUCCUCUCCGCGCCCACCAUGAAUUGCUUCCGGUGGACGCCCCCGGGCGGUGCGCGCGCCCGCUGCGUCGGCUCCAACGGCAGCUGGCUCGCCAUCGUCACCAUCAUGGACCAUGAUCUCGAGUUUGAGCUGGACGUCGUCGUCCGGAAGGUGACCACCGACCGCUGGCUUCGGCUUCCCGAGCUUGUCGGCGGUGACCACGAGGGCAUCAGGCGGGAGAUGGACGUGGCGUAUCACCAAGGCAAGUUCUACUACAUGGCCACAAGCGGCCAGGUGUGGGUGGUCGACAUGGCCGUGCCGUCCCCCUCUCCCGUGCCACUCGACGUGUUGGAGCCCCCCUUCAACGGCAUGGUCAUGUGCCGCGGCUACCACCUGGCUUUCUCCGGCGACGGCGCGCUGCACGUGGUGUGGAGCCGGAGCGCGGGCGACGGAUACCCGUGGAGUUGCAACCUCCGGGACAUGGCCGUGAUGCGCUUCGACCCUGAAGCAUCUGGCGAGGAGCAGUGGACGCCGGCGAGGAGCAUCGUCGGCCGCGCGCGUUCCUCAUCGGCGAUCGCAACCAGUCCAUAUCGGUCCCCGUGGACAGCAAUGUUAGCCCAAAAUUACGGACUAGCUAGUUCUCCGAGGAUCAACCAAAGAUGCACGAUCAGCUAG
rnacentral:rRNA from 1 species